rnacentral:rRNA from 1 species
UAAGGAAUAUUGGUCAAUGGACGCAAGUCUGAACCAGCCAUGCCGCGUGAAGGAUGAAGGUCCUCUGGAUUGUAAACUUCUUUUAUCUGGGACGAAAACGGGAUUUUUAUCUCAAUUGACGGUACCAGAGGAAUAAGCACCGGCUAACUCCGUGCCAGCAGCCGCGGUAAUACGGAGGGUGCAAGCGUUAUCCGGAUUCACUGGGUUUAAAGGGUGUGUAGGCGGAUUGUUAAGUCAGUGGUGAAAUCUCUGGGCUCAACCCGGAAACUGCCGUUGAUACUAUCAGUCUUGAAUUCUGUUGAGGUGGGCGGAAUACAUCAUGUAGCGGUGAAAUGCUUAGAUAUGAUGUAGAACACCGAUUGCGAAGGCAGCUCACUAAGCAGCGAUUGACGCUGAGGCACGAAAGCGUGGGGAUCAAACA